GCCAGGCGCUGUGGUGCACGCCUGUAAUCCCAGCAGCUUGGGAGGCUGAGGCAGGAGGAUUAUUAGUUCAAAGCCAGUCUCAGCAACUUAGCAAGGUACUUAGCAACUCAGCCAGAACCUGUCUCUA
rnacentral:sRNA from 1 species